rnacentral:lncRNA from 1 species
AUGCCAGCAAGUUUGGAAAACUCAGCAGUGGCCACAGGACUGGAAAAGGUCAGUUUUCAUUCCAAUUCCAAAGAAAGGAAAUGCCCAAAAAUGUUCAAACUACUGCACAAUUGCACUCAUCUCACAUGCUAUUCAAGUCAUGCUCAAAAUUCUCCAAGCCAGGCUUCAGCAAUACGUGAACUCCCUGAUGUUCAAGCUGGUUUUAGAAAAGGCAUAGGAACCAGAGAUCAAAUUGCCAACAUCUGCUGGAUCAUGGGAAGAGCAAGAGAGUUCCAGAAAAACAUCUAUUUCUGCUUUACUGACUCUGCCAAAGCCUUUGACUGUGUGGAUCACAAUCAACUGUGGAAAAUUCUGAAAGAGAUGGGAAUACCAGACCACCUAACCUGCCUCUUGAGAAAUGUGUAUGCAGGUCAGGAAGCAACAGUUAGAACUGGACAUGGAACAACAGACUGGUUCCAAAUAGGAAAAGGAGUAAGUCAAGGCUGUAUAUUGUUACCCUGCUUAUUUAACUUCUAUGCAGAGUACUUCAUGAGAUACGCUGGACUGGAAGAAACACAAGCUGGAAUCAAGAUCGCCAGGAGAAAUAUCAAUAACCUCAGAUAUGCAGAUGACACCACCCUUAUGGCAGAAAGUGAAGAGGAGCUAAAAAGCCUCUUGAUGAAAGUGAAAGAGGAGAGUGAAAAAGUUGGCUUAAAGCUCAACAUUCAGAAACCGAAGAUCAUGGCAUUUGGUCCCAUCACUUCAUGGGAAAUAGAUGGGGAAACAGUAGAAACAGUGUCAGACUUUAUUUUUUGGGGCUCCAAAAUCAUUGCAGAUGCUGACUGCAGCCAUGAAAUUAAAAGACACUUACUCCUUGGAAGAAAAGUUAUGACCAACCUAGAUAGUAUAUUCAAAAGCAGAGACAUUACUUUGCCGACUAAGGUCCGUCUAGUCAAGGCUGUGGUUUUUCCAGUAGUCAUGUAUGGAUGUGAGAGUUGGACUGUGAAGAAGGCUGAGCACCGAAGAAUUGAUGCGUUUGAACUGUGGUGUUGGAGAAGACUCUUGAGAGUCUCUUGGACUGCAAGGAGAUCCAACCAGUCCAUUGUGAAGGAGAUCAACCCUGGGAUUUCUUUGGAAGGAAUGAUGCUAAAGCUGAAGCUCCAGUACUUUGGCCACCUCAUACGAAGAGUUGACUCAUUAGAAAAGACUCUGAUGCUGGGAGAGAUUGGGGGCAGGAGGAGAAAGGGACGACCGAGGAUGAGAUGGCUGGAUGGCAUCACGGACUCGAUGGCCGUGAGUCUGAGUGAACUCCGGGAGAUGGUGAUGGACAGGGAGGCCUGGCGUGCUGCGAUUCAUGGGGUCGCAAGGAGUCGGAAACAACUGAGCGACUGA